AGGUGGAAGGUAAUUGCAUUCUGGACAGCACUGAGGUGAGCCAGCUCUCUUUCCCUGACGUUUCUCACUGCUGGCUUGGGAAGUCACAGAACACCCAUGGUCACUGCUGCGGUGGCUGUGUGGCUUUCUGAAGAUGAUGAUGAAGAGCGUGAAGCAGCUGUCAGAUAUCUUAGCCCCGCUUAUCUGGAUUAGAAAACUUAUUGGGAGGCCUACUUUGCUUCAAACCUCGCUGACAGAAAAUGGGACAAUGGGGAAGAGGGAGUUUUUUUUCACCUUGUUUACCCUGGAAAUGUGAUUCCAGUAAUCACUGGAGACAAUGGGGGAAACAAGGCACUGCUGGCAGUGAUGCUUCUCCAAGACUUUUCCUGAAACAGUCUGGAUUUUUUAGCUGGAGUAUUUUAUUUGGUGGCAGUAAUAAAACGGGAGAAAGAUAUUCUGUAUCAGAAGAGUUGAAUGGAAGAUAAUGAGAUGAUAGAUAGAAAGGAAAUACCAAGCAGCAAGAGAAGGCAAGGAAGAUCAGCAUUUGCAGCCCUUCAGUGGUAAAGUGACUACAGCAAGAAAACCAGGCCUCAGUUUGCUGGAAAUUGCCAUGGAGAUCUGGAUUUAAACUGACCUCCCCCUGAAUCUACCUCAGGUGACAGAAUGACCUAGGUGCCACUCACUUGGGUCACCAGGGACAAAGGAAAUGGAUUUAAUUAUGAUUCAGACUCAGCUCAAUUAUGAUUUAGACUCAGAGGUUUUGCAAAGCUUUGUAGUAAGUUGGUGGUGCUUCUUUCAAGUCUUGUAUCAGUUUCUGGGAAAUGCUCAAGUCCUGGGAAGCACAUCUUUAUUAACAUGUGCUGUCUUAUUUAGAUGGUGCCUAUCAUCUUAUUUAGACAUUUUAGAUUAGAUUUGCAACUUUGGUUCGUUAAAUCCUGGUCCAAACACAUUACCCAGAGCUGACAAACACGGGGGAAUCAGAGUUUAGGCUUUUGUAGCUACAAAAGACAAGUUGAAGAACUGAUGGCAGCUUUCAAACCAGCGUAACUGGUUUGUAACUUUUCCAACCUGGUGUAACUGGGAUGGAGGCUGGCCCACAUGGAAAGCUGCUCUAGAACCAGCUGUGGCUUGGCUCUGCUUCAUCCACACCUCCAGUUCUUGCAGGAAAUAAAAAACCAACCCAAACUAUUUGUCUGCCUGGCUUUGAGGGGCUCCCUGACCAGGCUGCCCAUGGGUGACUGAUUCCUGCCAAAGCUGGUCAUGAAAAUGUGUAGAGGAGCCAAGCUGGACUGGUAAUUUGUCUUUGCAGCUGUUAGAAUUUCAAUAUACAGAAACAACCGUUUAAAGAGAGAUUGUUCUUCAAUAAAAAAGGCACUCUGGGCAUCUCAAAAUGAAAGCCUGGAAAUGAAGGUGAAUUCAGAUGAUGUA